ACUUAACUUGGAGUCCGAACUCUCACUUUCUAACCCUGUGCAUCUGUUUUAAAAUUGGCUAGUAGCUCUUCGGAGCGAACCACCUUUUUUCACUUAUACAAACACAAAGUCUAUGAAUGUAAACAAAUUUAUAACAAAACAAAACUUUCAACAACGGAUCUCUUGGCUCUCGCAUCGAUGAAGAACGCAGCGAAAUGCGAUACGUAAUGUGAAUUGCAGAAUUCAGUGAAUCAUCGAAUCUUUGAACGCACCUUGCGCUCCUUGGUAUUCCGAGGAGCAUGCCUGUUUGAGUGUCAUGAAAUCUUCAACCCACCUCUUUCUUAGUGAAUCUGGUGGUGCUUGGUUUCUGAGCGCUGCUCUGCUUCGGCUUAGCUCGUUCGUAAUGCAUUAGCAUCCGCAACCGAAACUUCGGAUUGACUUGGCGUAAUAGACUAUUCGCUGAGGAUUCCAGACUUGUUCUGGAGCCGAGUUGGGUUAAAGGAAGCUUCUAAUCCUAAAGUCUAUUUUUUGAUUAGAUCUCAAAUCAGGUAGGACUACCCGCUGAACUUAAGCAUAUCAAUAAGCGGAGGAA
rnacentral:rRNA from 1 species